AGAGUUUGAUCCUGGCUCAGAAUCAACGCUGGCGGCGUGCCUUACACAUGCAAUUCGAGUGCGAAAGUCCCGAAAGGGAUGAGUAGAGUGGCAAACGGGUGAGUAUCACGUGGGUGACCUGCCCUAGAGCGGGGGAUAACGUCCCGAAAGGGACGCUAAUACCGCAUAACAUCCUGCCUAUGAAGAGGCGGUGAUCAAAGCUGGGGAUGGCAAGACCUAGCACUCGAAGAGGGGCCCGCGUCCGAUUAGCUAGUUGGUGGGGUAAUGGCCCACCAAGGCAACGUUCGGUAGCCGGCGUGAGAGGGCGGACGCCCACACUGGGACUGAGACACGGCCCAGACUCCUACGGGAGGCAGCAGUGGGGAAUAUUGGACAAUGGGGGCAACCCUGAUCCAGCAAUGCCGCGUGGGCGAUGAAGGCCUUCGGGUUGUAAAGCCCUUUUGCACGCGACGAUGAUGACGGUAGCGUGAGAAGAAGCCCCGGCUUACUUCGUGCCAGCAGCCGCGGUAAU
rnacentral:rRNA from 1 species